GAGCAACUUCUAUGGUGGCUGCGCUAUUCUUCUUCUUCUUCUUCUUGUUACUUUAUUGUUUCUUCUGAACCGUAAGAGCAGAUCCUUGUUGGCGUCCUCUUUGAUCUCCGAUUCUAGCAAUUUAAACCCAAGGGUUUACAAUUGCAGAACCUCAAACACUGUCACUGAUGCUGAUUUGAAGUUUUUAAUGGAUGAAAUUCUAAAUCAGAACCAUAAAUGGGAGGAUGUCAUAGAUAAAACAAAUCAUCAUCUAUGCUACAAAGCUAAAUCCACCAAACCUAAGAAUGGUCCCCUGAAAUAUUGGAGUAUGACUGUGUUCAAUGAUAUUUCCGCCGAGAUGCUAAGAAACUUCUACAUGGACAAUCACUACAGAAAGCAAUGGGAUAACACUGUGGUCGAACACAAUCAGCUGCAGCUGGAUGAAUCUGAUGGUUCUGAAGUUGGUCGUACAGUU